UGAACGCUGGCGGCAGGCCUAACACAUGCAAGUCGAGCGGCAGCACGGGUACUUGUACCUGGUGGCGAGCGGCGGACGGGUGAGUAAUGCCUAGGAAUCUGCCUGGUAGUGGGGGAUAACGCUCGGAAACGGACGCUAAUACCGCAUACGUCCUACGGGAGAAAGCAGGGGACCUUCGGGCCUUGCGCUAUCAGAUGAGCCUAGGUCGGAUUAGCUAGUUGGUGAGGUAAUGGCUCACCAAGGCGACGAUCCGUAACUGGUCUGAGAGGACGAUCAGUCACACUGGAACUGAGACACGGUCCAGACUCCUACGGGAGGCAGCAGUGGGGAAUAUUGGGCAAUGGGCGAAAGCCUGAUCCAGCCAUGCCGCGUGUGUGAAGAAGGUCUUCGGAU
rnacentral:rRNA from 1 species